rnacentral:lncRNA from 1 species
CCCCAGCCCAGCUUCCCUUGGCCUGCCCUUUGCCCAGGCCCAGCCCCAUGACGUCAGGCAUGGCACAGCCUUCGAUGUGGAUGGAAGAGUCUGAGGGAGGAGGGAGGCAGAAGGCGGAAGGCAGAAGGCGGGGAAUCUAGUGAGGGCUCAGAGAGGGGACCCUCUGCACAGCCCACAGGCCGAGCCAGGCCUCAUAGGCCGCUGCUGCCCUCUGGCCCUGGAGGCUGCUCAGGCCGAGGCUCAGUAGGGCUGGGGGCAAGGUGUGCUUCUGGGGAGGAGGCUGGGGACUCUGGGGUGCCUCCAGGUACUCCCAUUCCCACUGAGUACUAUGGGGGGCCGCAGGCUGGGGUGAGGUCGGAGGUCAGCCGGAGGCCAGAAUUGCUCCUGGGACAGCACAUUUUUGUCCUCUGAAAACUUAUCUUUGCAAAGCCACCGAGAAACAAUUGUGCUCUUUCCCGGGCCUCUGCAGUCCCCAGACGGCUGGCCCGUCUCCGCAGCGGGGGCUUUGGGAAGGCGAAAUUUGUAAAAUGUCUGUAGGAGGGGAAGAAAGGCGCAUUGUGUGGGGCUGGGGCCCUGGCCAUUGGUCAGCUCCGAGGCCCCCGGCCGCUCCCAGAAUACUCCCUCUCCAGGAGGCUGCUUUGCCGUAGCCCUGUGAGCCCCGGCUGCAUCUAGGCCUCGGGGACCCAGGUCCCUGGGGCUGCCAGCCUCGGAAGGUGCAGGCCGGGCUGAGAGGCCCCUAAGUCCCAGCAUGUUUCUGCACUGGAGGAAGCGGGGUGCCUAUGAGCUAGAGGCGCUGCCUGGGGACCUGGCCCAGCUGGGGCUGGAGACCGUGGAGCGCUUCUCUUGGAGCUCCAGCCUGGACAUCAUCGAGGACCUCAGGGGCCUUUCCCCUUCACUCUCUGCUCCCACCACCCGGACGCCACCUGGAGCUACGCGGUGUGAUCGAAACACACGGCGGAGAAGUGAAAAGAAUUAAAAUGUGCUAUGUACACGGUGAAUGUAAUCAUUAUGUACUGCAAACAGGUACUGCUACAACUUUUCAAAUUAAAUAAAAACUAAAUGAAAAAUUUUAUUACAGUAAAAGGCACAUUGCCAUGGAUCCACCUCAAAAUACCCCUCUGGCUCUGAGCAUACUUAUUCUGUCGUUCUUGCCACUUUCUGAAGCAGUUCUGGAAGUCCUCCUUCCUGAGUGUUUUUACACGCUGUGCUCAAAAGCACAGAAAACGCUGCUGUUGAGAGUCACCCAGCAGAAAGGGAAGCCCGUAAGAACAUGACGCUGUGUCCUCAUGCACUUUACACACCAGAUCUGGCACCGUGCAAUUUCUGGCUCUUCCCCAAAGUCAAAAUGACCAUGAAAGGUAAACGUUUCGAAUGGAUUCAAGACAUCGAGGCGGCCAGGCAUGCUGGUGCAUGCCUGUAAUCCCAGCACUCAGGAGGCUGAGGCAAGAGGAAUGCUGACUGGGCUACAUAGUGAGUUCGAGGCCAGCCUGACCAGCAUAGCGAGAAACUGCCUCCAGCAAAAAAAAAGAAAAGAAAAGGAGAUAUUGAGGCAGCCAGAAC